CAGCAGCCGCGGUAAAACGGAGGAUCCGAGCGUUAUCCGGAAUUAUUGGGUUUAAAGGGUGCGUAGGCGGAUAGAUAAGUCAGUGGUGAAAGACGGUGGCUCGACCAUCGCAGUGCCGUUGAUACUGUUUAUCUUGAAUAUGGAUGAGGUAGGCGGAAUGUGGCAAGUAGCGGUGAAAUGCAUAGAUAUGCCACAGAACACCGAUUGCGAAGGCAGCUUACCAAGGCAAAAUUGACGCUGAGGCACGAAAGCGUGGGGAUCGAACAGGAUUAGAUACCCCCGUAGUCCCUGUCUCUUAUAC
rnacentral:rRNA from 1 species